CCUACGGGUGGCAGCAGUGGGGGAUAUUGCACAAUGGGGGAAAGCCUGAUGCAGCGACGCCGCGUGAGUGAAGAAGUCUUUCGGUAUGUAAAGCACUAUCAGCAGGGAAGAAAAUGACAGUCCCUGACCAAGAAGCCCCGGCUAACUCCGUGCCAGCAGCCGCGGUAAUACGUCGGGCGCAAGCGUUCUCCGGAUUUACUGGGUGUAAAGGUAGCGUAGACGGUUAUGUAAGUAUGGAGUGAAAGCCCGGGGCCCAACCUCGGGACUGCUUUGGAGACUGUGUAACUGGAGUACAGGAGGGGCAGGUGGAAUUCCUGGUGUAGCGGUGAAAUGCGUAGAGAUCAGGAGGAAUACCGGCGGCGAAGGCGGCCUGCUGGACUGAAACUGACGUUGAGGUGCGAAAGCGUGGGGAGCAAACAGGAUUAGAUACCCGAGUAGUC
rnacentral:rRNA from 1 species